UACGUAGGGGGGCUAGCGUUGUCCGGAUUUAUUGGGCGUAAAGAGCGUGUAGGCGGCCAGGUAGGUCUGCUGUGAAAUCCCUCGGCUUAACCGGGGAACUGCGUCUGAUACUGGAUGGCUUGAAUCCGGGAGAGGGAUGCGGAAUUCCAGGUGUAGCGGUGAAAUGCGUAGAUAUCUGGAGGAACACCGGUGGCGAAGGCGACAUCCUGGACCGGUAUUGACGCUGAGUGAGCGAAAGCCAGGGGAGCAAACGGG
rnacentral:rRNA from 1 species